AGUGGGGAAAAGUGCGAAAAGAAGCAACAGCCGCUCCACCCGAGACCAGAAAAGUGAAUGCCGCGUCCCGCCCGCCCGCCCAGAGCCGGGGAUGCGGAGGCAGCGGCUAACGGUCCAGGGAGGCGGCAGAGGCGGCAGAAACCGCUAGGCGGAGAGAGACCAGGCUGAGCUCUGCUCCCACGCAGCGCUCGUCCGCUCCCUGCACCCUGGGGCCCCGGAGCGGGUCGUGCCCGGGGCUCCCCGGGAAGUUCCCAGGAUUUGUGGAAGGGCAAGUUUGAGGAACAGCGAGAGACUGAUUUGGGAAGCUCAGCCUCUGACGACGAGGACACGCGACGUCACGAGAGAGGCUACCUGACCCCGCCGUCCUCACUCCCUUCCUCUACACGGACGCACGGUUUUCCCCCUUAGCAAACCAAGUUGGGACGUGACUUCAAUUAGAACUUCAGCUGGACUGAAGGAGAGGCGAGAAGUUCCGCUUGCAAGCUACCUCGGCGGUAAAGCGCAAUGAGUAAUACCCACACUGUCUCUGUCUCACUUCCUCAUCCGCACCAGGCUCACCUGCUGUCACCUCGGCCUUACCCCGCCUGGCCGCCCUGCUCUCAGAGCUCCUGCCGGCUUUCCCCUUACAGUCACUCCACGAAAUCAGAGGCAUAAGAUUCAGAGUGAAGGAGUAAACAGGCCACGAAUUACUACCUAAAUGGGCAGUUGUAUAGGACUUUAAGGCAAGAAACACGACUGACAAAUGUGGUCUUUUGAGACAGAUUGCUGAUUUUUAUCUCAAGUCUCUGACUUUGUAUAAGUUUGGGGGAUUUCUUAAAGGCAAUAUAAAUAAUAGCACAAAUACCAAGGAAGUUGAAUCUUUAGUUGGUAGGACUUAGCUUUCCCCUCCCCCCACCUCCCUUUCCAAUGGGGAAGUGUCUUUGGGAAGAACUUGGUGGAAUAAAUGAGCUGUAUUUAAAAUAAUAUAGUUAUAAAUUAAUAGUAUAAGAAUUAUUGGGAAAACUGAAAUGUGCCUCGCGGCUCAUUUCACCAAGCACAAUGCUGUCACAGUAUAUGCUCAAAAAUUUGCCAUACUUAUGGCAGGAUUCCUUAUUAUGUUAAAAUAAUCAUUUAAACAUGCUCCAGAAUUUUAGAAGAUUCAUUAAUAAUCUUUUCAAACCUUUCAACUGAAAUAAAUUCACAGCUGAAGCCUGGUAAUUUAAAAUUAGAAAGUUUAAUCCUGAAUAUAGAUGAAAAUUUUCUUUCUCACAUUUACUUUGGCAUUUUGAGAAGUGAAUGCAUUAUUUAUUGGUGAGUGGAAUGUGGCUGUAAAUAUGCUUUGCUGUGUAUUAUGUCUAUAUAUCGACUCUCACUGUCAAUGCCAAAACUAGAAUCAUUAUUUGUGGUGAUUACUUUUAAGUACAGGCAGUUCUCACUUUCCUCAACACCAUGUUAACUGAACGAGUGUGUAUCAGAACCAGGACCUUGCCCAUGCUUUGCUUGGUUUAAGUGGUAAAUUUCCUACCCUUUUAAGAGCAUAUAAUGUUCUUCAGUUGCCAUCUGAAUCAGAUUGUAGACUUUAUCCUUUGCUAAUACUGCCCCUCCCCGCCCAAACACACACAUCUCUUUUAUACUUACCCUAAUUUCCAAUCAGAAGGGAAACAAAUACUUCCUAACUCUGGCACACAUUUUAUUUAUUCUUAAACUUAGGAAAUAUCACACAUGCCAUUUGGUUUGCUCUUUCUGAAGUGGCUGUUCUGUACCUCCCAGGUUUCCUUCAUUGUUCAUCCUCACCUUGAAAUCAGAGACAAUGUGAAGGGACAAAUCAAGUAGAAGUCAUUUUCUUCCUUACUUUAGUGCUUACUGGUAUUAGUUUAGUUAGCUUGGGCCAGAUGUAUUUAAUUCCAUGUAGACAGAUAACUCUUUUUAUUUGUUUGUUUUCUUCUUCAUAUCUUCAACAUCAGCACCUAGCAGAGUACCUAGUCUCAUAAUAAGUAAAUAUUUCUUAAAUAAAUUUUGUUGACUUUUUCUGAAUUUGUUCUUAGCUUUAAAGUAAGGAUUGUUUACCUUCAUCAUAUUAGUUCUUGGGAGCAGUUGAAAUCAUGGAUAUAAAAGCCAUUUGCUGUCAUUUAUAUCCUGAUUUAUUUUGAGACAAUUGCUCUUGGUUUUAGAUUCUCCAUAAUCAUUUCCCUCAAAUGAUAACUUGACUCACUCAUAUUUUUAAAUAUGCAAAGGAAAUAUUAUUAAUAUCCUAACUCUUCUAAUACAAAUUUUCAAUUUUGUAAAUCUUGUAAUAAUUAUGUAUAUUAUAAAUUGAAUAUUUGACUGAUAUAUUUUGUUUAGUGUAAAUAUUUCCAAAAUUAUUGAAAUCUAGACUGGAAAGAAAGCAAACAAAAGUAAAUCUCAGAAUAAAUUGCUGCUUUAAACCUGAUGCGUAUGUGAUGGUUCUCUCUUAAAUAUAACUAAAGAAUUGGGAAAAUUCUUUAGAAUAAAUUUACUAAAAUUUAGGUUUAUUUAAAUCAAACAUGAUGGGAAUACUAAUAAAAUUUUAACACUCUGUGUUAAUGGUUUUUAAUAAUUGCAGUUCCAUCAUACAAUAUAUAUUCAGUACGUGCUAUUUUUAAUGUCAAUUAAAUAUUAAUGCUGUUUUUAGUGAUCACUGGGAUAUACUGAAGGAGAAAUAUUCUGAAAAUGAAUUGCUAUAAUCUUUUCUAAAUUUACAGGAAAAUGUAAAUGAGUAGAAUAUUUUCAAUAUUGAGUUGUUUUCUAUAAUUUUUUCAUGAACCCUUUGCACCUACUCUUUGCUUUUCAUAUAAGAUUAAUAUAUAAAUGAGUGUAGAAUUUGACAUAGUCAUUUUAAGUUUAAAGUGUAGAUAUUUCACAGUGUUCCACAUCAAGCCUAUGAUUUCCAUGUGCCAAAGCUCCUGAACACAUUUGAGAAAUAUAACUUAAUGAUCCUACAAUCUUCAUCGGAAUACAAAGUUCAUUAUUUUCACAGAGGGAUAAAAAUAUUAAUUGUGUUAAUUAAUUAUAUUAUGUGAUUUUAAUAUUAGAGGUUUGAAGGGAAAAGAAUAAAUUUGUUAAUUGUUUUCCAUCAAGGUACAGAACUUAGAAUCCUCUAAAGUUGAUCCUCAAUCCUUGGCUCAAUAAUGACUCUGAAUAUGUGUUUUACAAUGAGACAAAACAGGGCCACGGUCAUUUCACUACCACUACCUGCAGUUUCACCGAAUUCUACAAUGACCGAGUCAGGAAGAAAACAUGACUACCGAGUGGUAUAGAAAUUGACAGUUGUCUUUAGGACCCAUGAAUAAAACCCAGAAGGGAAUAAGAGGGAAAAAUGUUUUCACCGGACCUUCAUGUGAUUUUAUUAUUUACUGUAUCACAAGAUGGUAUUGCCCACUCUGGGGAAUAAGGCACCUAUUUUUAAUAUAAGUCAGUGAAAUGUUAACACAGAGAACUUCUUCAUUUGGGAGCCAGAUUUUCAGGAACAUGUCUAAUAUAGAGAAAUGUAAGUAUAAACAUAGAGGUUUGAAAGAUGUUAAUGAACAUCCAAAAAGUAAAAUUAAUCUUUUCCAUAAAAUCGCAAUAAAACAGAUUGCCUUUAAAGGCUACUUCCACAGAAGAUAGAUUGUAGUUCCUAAUACUGACAUCACAUAUGAACAUGGAUAGCAUUUUUUUCUAUACUAAACAAUUAUAGGCAGUUAGUUUGUGUAGGGCUAUCCAACCCGCGGCCCACGGGCUGCAUACAGCCCAAGAUGGCUAUGAAUGCAGCCCAACACAAAAUCAUAAAUUUACUUAAAACAUUAUGAGAUUAUUUUGUUUUCAUUAGUGUUUGUGUAUUUAAUGUGUGGCCCAAGGCAACUCUUCUUCUUCCAGUUGUGGCCCACAGGUGCCAAAAAUCUGGAAACCCCUAUUGGAGAGAGAGAAAGCAACAUGAAUAUUUUGUAUUAAGUGAAAUUUAGUUAUUCACUAUGAUUUCAGAGGUCUCAUAUAUGGUUUCUACAGUUUUUGUUUUUCUCCCUUUGUCUCCAUGUAUUUCUUUUCUCUGGCAUUUUAACUUUUAGCAGCUGAUUGGUUCUCUUACAGAGUAUGUCUGUUUCUUUGAUCUACAGUAUUCCACAGGUCUUCAGUUACAAUCACUGCCGCUGUUCAAUCCUUGCAGUAUAUAUAUUUAAUAUAUUUCCAAUGAUUAACAGGUUUUAAAUGCCCCACCAUAAACCCACAUAAAAAGGUGGUAUUGAGACACACCAACUAUGUUCAAAUAUAUCCACAGCUUUAAGAUCCCUGGUCAGACCCUUCUAAUACUUGAAUGCCUUUAUUUCUUUGCUCACUCUCUCUAUCGUACUUACAUAAAUAGAUCACACACUGUGCCCCUCUCUACUAUUUUACUGUUUAAUGAUUCUCUUCCAUCUUUGUCCCAACUGUGACACAGCUCUGUUUGGAUCAAUUCCUUUCCUCUUUUUGUUAGCAUUUUUGAAUUGCCCUCGCUCUGUAAAAUAUUUUGCUUUUUCAUAUUAUUGCUAGUUAUUCUCUGUCUUUCCGUGCCCUUGGAGGCCAAUUUCUGUGGACAUCAUGGAGGCUCCUUUACCCUCUGGUUUCUGUAUAUUUGGUUUCAGCCAAUUUGGAGUCAUUGCCAAAUGAUCAGAAAGAGGAAAGAGAGAAGUCAAGGUACUUAUUUUACCUUCCCCCAUACUCCCUCCUGCUUGCCUGUGGCCUUUGGAAGUAGCUUCAGUCCUGUCUACCUGAGGUCAUGGCUCUGGUCAGACGACCCUAUUGCCUUGGCUACAGGUCUUAGCAAGCUUUAAAAACUGCACCUUUCAUUAGUCCUUGCAGGCCUAGGAAAGGUGGUGGCUACCUCUUGUUGUGAACCCUUGGGUAUGUUAUCACUUAUUGGUUCCCUUAAUGCCUAAACACAUCUCUGUAAAUAGUCUCUUCCUCAGACUGUCUUCAGUUUACCUUUUGAGUGUGUCAUUUAUUUCCUGCAAGGUCCCUGAGUAAUACACAUAUAGAAGUAAAAUGCAUUUUUCACCAUAUUUAUUAUCCACCAAGAAUUAUACUUCUGUUAAUUACAAUACUAAAGUUUAAAUGUGAUGUAAAUGUCAUUCAUUUACCAAAUAUAUACUCAUGUUCUAAUGUGUAUAUAUGCAAAAUCUGGUAAAUACUUAGAAAUUUGUCAGUCUAUUACAUAGUAAUUAUUAAUUAAUUAUUUAUGGAAUGGAGGCCCACCCUAAUUAAUCUAAAAUCUGGAUGAGGCUGCAGAGAUAGAGAAUCAUCAUAGGAAGAUGAUUGGAAUUUGAGACCUUAUAGUGAAAGCAGUUGUAAGCCAUGAAAGGGUUUUUUAAAAAGUCAAGUAUCCAAAGUAUGCAAGAUGUUAGUGUUCUGUGACAGAAAAGAAAAAGUGAACGGAACAUCCAGUAUUAAGAGAACUUUUUUCCUCUUGAAUACUCAUUCAAAAGAAUAACUCAGCAAGGAAAAGCAAUACAGGUAAAAGAUACAGUUAUGCAAAUAUAGCACAGAUGAAGAAGAACCUUUCUACAUUAUAUUAACAAGUAGUAUAAUGCUGUUGUUAAAACUUAAGCAGUAUAAAAUAAUAUUCCCAAUAUACAAUAUUAGUAAAAUUGUUUCUGGUUAUACAUUGUUGCAGUGGUUUUCCAAUAUCCUAGUACUGCCUUAGUACAUGGCAGGCCCUGAAAAUUACAUGAUGAAUGAAAAUUAAAAAAGAGGCUCCAAUAUAUUCUUUAAUACUUGACAUUUUUUCCACUAUUAUGUUUACCCCAGACUAAUGCAUAAUAGCUAACAUUCUUCAUAUUCAGAUUCUAAUCUGUCUUCCAGAUUAACUUGUAUAAGGGAUGGGGCAAAAGUAGGCUUGCAGUUGUGAAUAUAUGAAAUAGUUUUUUCUUGUGUUAUUUAUUAUUGUAUUAAUUGCCAUAUAAGCAACUGUAAACCUACUUUUGCCCCACACUCUAUUGCCAAGAGGGCAGAUUAGUUUUCUUUCCCUGGAUUUCAGCUUAUCUCAGCACUUCUCCAGGAGUAUCAGGCAUCUUGAAAAUUGAACAACCAGCCCCACAUAGCUAGUAAUUCCCUCACAUCCUUCAGAGCACCUUUUACAUACCACAGUUGUAGCUUUUAUCACUUUUAUGUAUGUUUUACAUCUGUCCACUCUCCUAGUCUGAACUUCUUUAUAUUUCCUCCCCAAAGCAAUGCCUAAUGGGACACAUGCUCAAUAAUUAUGGAAAAGAGGGGAAGUUCCUGCCAUUUGUGAAUCAUUCCUACACUGGAGUUUUGUGAAGAGUAAAUGAAAUUUUGAAUGUGAAGUGUUUUACAUAGUGCCUGGUAGGUGGUAAACAGUAAGUGAUGGAUAAUAAAAACAAAAGCAAAUUCUCAGUGAUCAGAGUUGGAUAUUAAGAACAUAAUCCACUAGAAAUACCUAUACAAUGCCUUUUUGUUCAGGGCUAAAAGGUCAUCUUUCUCCCUGAAGAUGUUAUUUCAGGUAUAGGUAGAAUGACUA